CCAGACUCCUACGGGAGGCAGCAGUGGGGGAUAUUGCACAAUGGGGGAAACCCUGAUGCAGCGACGCCGCGUGGGUGAAGAAGCGCCUCGGCGCGUAAAGCCCUGUCAGCAGGGAAGAAAAUGACGGUACCUGAAGAAGAAGCCCCGGCUAACUACGUGCCAGCAGCCGCGGUAAUACGGAGGAUGCGAGCGUUAUCCGGAUUUAUUGGGUUUAAAGGGUGCGUAGGCGGUUUUUUAAGUUAGUGGUUAAACGUCGGGGCUUCACCUUGAUUUGCCAUUAAUACUGUAAGACUCGAGUUCAGACGAGGUAGGCGGAAUAAGUUAAGUAGCGGUGAAAUGCUUAGAUAUUAGGAGGAACACCAGUGGCGAAGGCGGCUUACUGGACGAUGACUGACGCUGAGGCUCGAAAGCGUGGGGAGCAAACAGGAUUAGAUACCCGUGUA
rnacentral:rRNA from 1 species